rnacentral:rRNA from 1 species
GAAACGGGUGGUAAUGCCGGAUGCUCCGACUCCUCGCAUGGGGUGUCGGGAAAGAUUUCAUCGGUAUGGGAUGGGGUCGCGUCCUAUCAGGUAGUCGGCGGGGUAACGGCCCACCGAGCCUACGACGGGUAGCCGGCCUGAGAGGGCGACCGGCCACAUUGGGACUGAGAUACGGCCCAGACUCCUACGGGAGGCAGCAGUGGGGAAUAUUGCACAAUGGGCGCAAGCCUGAUGCAGCGACGCCGCGUGCGGGAUGACGGCCUUCGGGUUGUAAACCGCUUUUGAUCGGGAGCAAGCCUUCGGGUGAGUGUACCUUUCGAAUAAGCACCGGCUAACUACGUGCCAGCAGCCGCGGUAAUACGUAGGGUGCAAGCGUUAUCCGGAAUUAUUGGGCGUAAAGGGCUCGUAGGCGGUUCGUCGCGUCCGGUGUGAAAGUCCAUCGCUUAACGGUGGAUCUGCGCCGGGUACGGGCGGGCUGGAGUGCGGUAGGGGAGACUGGAAUUCCCGGUGUAACGGUGGAAUGUGUAGAUAUCGG